UCUUGCAGGCAGGACAGAUUAUAGGUCCAAGGUUUUUGUGGCUGGGUUGGUGUCCAAGUUUCUCUUUUAGUAGCCUGCAGAGCACCUUCUCACACCAAAGAGACUAGAACAUGGGGGUAAAGGCUCCAUGCAGGCACCAGCUCAUAAACAAUUGAUUUUCUUUUAUUAGAGACAGUAAUCAUGAUAAAAAAAAUGUUCUUACCAUCAGCUUCUAGAACAAGUGGGGAAAUGACAUUUCUCAGGUACUAAAUCAUGUUGUGAUGAAGCUGGAUUGAAAGGGAUGUAUGUGAAGUUUUAUCUAGGGAGAGUAGAAAAAAAACACAAGAAGUAGAUUUAAAUUGUGUUCAGAAACUCUCAAGUUUCAGGGCUAGUGUCCUCCCUACUGCCCAGGCUUGUAGUCAGAAGUUUUUCUGUGUCUCGCUGAGUCCUGCAGCCUCUCAGACCCAAGUAAACACACAGAGGCUUAUAUUAAUGAUGAACUGGAUGGCCUAUGGUCAAGCUUCUUCCUAGCUUGCUCUUACAACUCAACCCAUUUAUUAAUCUAUAAGUUGCUAUUUGACUGUGGCAUUACCAGUCUGCUAGCAUCUUGCUGCUCCUUGGACACAGGCUCAUGUUUCCUCUUCCUCUCCUUUCUCCCUUCACUAUCUCUGUUGGACUUUCUUGCCUGGCUCCAUCCUGCCCUGCCAUAGGCCCAUGAAACUUUAUUUAUCAAGCAGUCAGAGCAACAUAUAUUCACAUGGAUGUCAUAUGGAAAGACAUCCCACAGCACAGGCUGUCUUAUGUUAGACCCCAUUUCAAACCAACUGAUCACGAAUUUGGGGUCAGGGAGUUCUUCAGGUUUGAUGAGUUUGUAGAUCAAGUCUGAGAACUUAUGAUAGUGUUAUACUUACAAUUAUGGUUUUAUUCUAGCACAAGAAUCCAGAUCAGAGACAGACAAAGAAAGAGGCACACAGAGUAGAACCUGAGACUGUCAUAAAUAGAUAUGUGACAAUACAGAGUGCUAUGAGCCAGGGAUUGUAUCCCAGUUUCAGUGUAUAGUGGUUUCAUUAAAGCUUUAUUUGAUAGGCAUGGCUGAUUGAGUUUCUGCUGGCAUCUGCAGCCUUCUUCCUCUCCUCGGAGGUUAGCUACACUUCACAUGGCCCAAACUUCUAAUUCUCUAAUCACACAGCUUUGCUUUUUCUGGUAAAGCUAGUUCCUGUUGUAAAUAUCCCCACAUGGUUGGUCACUUCCUCCACCAUCUCUAUAGCACAGACUUUCAUGUGUGGUCUGAGGGUCCAUCAUGAAACAUGGGGCACUUCUAUCAUUGGGGAAUUGCAAGAAUUUAAAGGCUUCUUCUGAGAAGCUGAGACAGAGGCCACACCUGGGCUUUGGUGUGGUGAAUUCCACAGUGAGCACACUGGAAGAAUGGUUGACUCAGAGCUCAUGUAAGGUGAAGUCAGUCUGUGGCACUCUCUUUGUCAGCUUCAGCUACUGACUUGACAGCAGAGAGUGAUCAUUGGAUGUCAGAGAGUGUCUCAGUUGGGGCCUUGAUCACAGUGGCCUAUGGGCAUAUCUGAGGGAACAUUUUUUUUUAUUGCUAGUCAUAGUAGGAAGGUUCAGCCCAUGGUGGGCCAUGCCACUCGGGUCCUGAGUUGUAUAAAAAAACCUUGCUGGACAUUAGCCAGAGAGAAUAAGCUAGUAAGCAGUGUCCUCCAUGGUUUCUGCUUCAAGGUCUUGCUUUGGCUUCCCUUGAUGAUGAUGGGCUGUGAAAUGUAAGUUGAAAUGAAACCUUUUCUCUCCAUGUUGCUUUUGAUCAUGGUGUUUCUUAAGGUAGAACAAGCCCCAAGGGAGGGAGUAGAUGGUGAGAGAAAAAUGCUGCCGAAAGACUCAUGGCCCCUGGACAUGGUGCAGAACUGUAUGUACCUGUGCUUUUCUCAGAGCCGAGUAAAGGAUGUCACCCGAAGAGGAAUAACGUGAUGUUUAGUCAGUCUGUACAUUCCAGUGGGUUGCAAGUGGCUACGAAUCCAUGGUCUACAGUUCCAGUCCCACUCGACUGAAAGCAGAGAUAAUGUCAAGCUCUUUGAAUCACAGAGACGGUAAUGUUAGACUACUCGUCCUUUGCUCCAAGAAAACUGCUUUUAAACUACUUCCAGCAUGGCUUGGAGCAUUUUGGAAGCCACUGCUUUCUGUUCGUCAAUGCUUUGGAGACUUCCAUCAAGUGCACAUGAGAAAUGGUACAUUGGUAAGAUGCCCCCUCUGUAUGCCCCAAAUAGGAAAAUGUUUUCUGUUAAAGUUUGCAUAACCCCUUUCAGUACUUUGCAUGUCAAGAGUACAAGCCUUAAAGUGUGCUGGUGGUUAAAGACUAUGUUUUUAUUUUAGUGUGUGUACCAAUACUUUCCUACCUUGAAUAUAUUCCUUCAUUUAGACAUCAUCCAAGGGACUAAACAAUUCUAUCUUUUCCUUGACUUUUUGGAGAUUGUCAAUAGACAAGCAUCAAGUUCAAUAAACUUCUUGGAGUCCCUUGAGCUGACCCAGAGAUAAAUGAAACAUUGUACCUUUUUGGAAAACAAUCUGGCUGUUGAGUUCUGAUUGAAGAGGAGGCACACUGCAAUAUGCAGGCAUGAGAUACUUGAGCAGAAGAUAAUGCUUGCAGCCGUACUUUUAACAUUCAAUUUCAGUGCUGUCCAGAAAAACUGUAAAACUGGGGAAAGACUAUGCCCUUAAACUUAUACCCUACACUGGAAAUGAAGGUUUGAAGUGGGUGCACAUUGACCAGCAUGAAAAGCUGUUGUGCUCAAAGAGAAUAAGUUCCCUGGAUUCUUGGAACAGAUAUGAGGACUCUGCAGAGGAGUCAUGGUUUGCUAAAAAGUAUCAAAAUUUACAGGGUCUUCUGAUGGCGGCGGUUUCAGGGAUGUUGUGAUGAAAGAGGAGGGCCUUUAACAGUGAGAACGAGCAGAAGUGCAGGACACUUACUUCUCUUACAAUGUGUAAGAGCAUCUCUUACACAUUGUGCGGAGGAGAUUAUGUCCAGUCCUUUCCUGGAAAGAGUCCCAUAUGGAUUAUUACAACUGCCUGUAGUCCCGAGGACAACUCUUCAUUGGCCAAGUGCCUCGUAAAUGGUGCUGACAGAUUAACAACAGCUGGAGAGGGUCCACAGAGGUGAUUCUGAGGGACACUUGACAGAGCCCUGCUGCCCCCACGGGGUCAUUUUGCUGCACAGGUCAAGUGCAGACAUCUGCUGCCUCUACACAGCAGGAAGUCUUACUUUGGGAAGCAGAUGUCUGCUUUUGGUUUUCAGGAAAUGAACUGUUGCUCAGAAACCGUGGCCUAUCAAGUUAGAAAGACUUCAAAGGUAGGCGUUUUCCAAAGGGGUGGUAUUAGAAUGGCGUUUAUGUGACAGAUUAAAAUAUUUCAAACAGGCUGACAAGAUCUUUGCUCUCUGCUCUGUGUGGUUGCAUAUAUAUUCUACCUGUCCUACCUACCCUAGAACAUGUCUGCUAGCUCCCAAGGUGAGCUUGAAAUCAGCACCUGCGUUUGAACUUUGGGAAGACUGCCACUUGCUCCUCACCAGUUCUAGUUUGGUUUCUGUUACUUCAUCCUCCAGAAUGUGCAAAUGUUUAAUGAAAUAUUACACCAAAGACUCAUAAGCAUCAGUGAAAUCUCUCAACUAACCAGCCGCCUUAUUAGUGAAAGAGGUAAUUUUCUGAAGCUCAAUUACAUGAAAAUGGAAAAGAGAUGAGUGAGAGUAAGGGCCGGAAUAACAGCCUUGUUGGUAGUGACAGCCUAGAUCUAUAACCAGUAACAACAGGAAGAAGGGCCUAGUACACAGGUCUUUGGGACCAGCCAUGACUUACCCACUAAAGGGUUGUAUUUUCUUAUAAUUAACAAUCCUUCUCUUUCAAAGUACCUCAUUUUAUGUUUGCCAUUUACUAUUGUAUGUGUGAAUUCUUGUUUUGCUUUUCUUUUGUAGGUUUUUUUGAGGACUUCAUACAUGAGCAUUCUAUAUCCCUUCUGCCCCCUCUUCCUCCUCAUCUUCUUCUCAUGUCCUUCCUCCCAAACUCACGAUGUUUUCAUUGUUAUUGCUAUGUGUAGAUGUAACAAUGAAUUGGACAAUUGGAAACUCAUGCCUGGAUGAAAUUGAUUCUCCCUUUCUCAGUAGCUGUUGACCAUCUAUAGCCUGUCAUCUAGAGUUAGGACCCUGUGGAAUCUCUUUGUCUGUCAACUGGUGGUGUCUUUGUGCUGGUUUCAUUCAGGCAUCCUUAUUUUUGAGAGUUCAUGGAUACAUUUUUCCUGUCAUGUCUAGGGAAACUACUUACCAGCAGUCAUUCUGAGCCUCUGGCUCUUAUAGUCCUUCUUCCUUUUCUUCUGUGAUUUUCUGUGAGCCUUAGAUAAAGGGAUUGGAUUGUACAUGGAUCAGUUGGGUUUCCACACAAUCACUUACCUUCUACAUUUUGACCAGUUGUAGAUCUCUAUAAUAUUCUUCAUCUGCAGCAAAAAGAGGUUUUGUAUAUGAAAGGUGAGAGGUAUACUUCUUUGUGAGUAUAAUAUAUUUGUUUAGAAAAAUGACAUUAGUAUGUUCUCUUUAGGGUCUGUGAUCUCCUUUGCCACAGGUUUACAGUUAGGUUUAAAAUACCAGGCAUGGAUUGCCUUUUUUUUUUU